AACGAACGCUGGCGGCAUGCCUAACACAUGCAAGUCGAACGAGACCUUCGGGUCUAGUUGCGCACCUGUGCGUAACGCGUGGUAACCUGCCCUUAGGUUCCGUAUAACUCCCCUAAAGGGGUGCUAAUACCGGUUAAUGUCUUCGCACCUAAGAUUUAUCGCUUUUGGAUGGGCCCGCGUUGGUUUAGCUGGUUGGUAGGGUAAUAGCCUACUAAGGAGACGAUCCAUAGCUGGUCUGUGAACAUGAUAAACCACACUGGAACUGAGACACGGCCCAGAAUGCUACGGGGGGGAGCAGUAGGGAGUAUUGUGGGAUGAACGAAAACGUGAUCAAGCCGUGCGGGGUAAGAGAUGAAGGGCUUAGGGUUGUACAGCCGUUUUACACGAAGUGUUAGUGACAGUACCGGGAAAAUAAGCACCGGCUAACUACGUG
rnacentral:rRNA from 1 species